AGCAGUGGUGGGUUCCAUGUGAUGGUGGAGUAGGAGGCAGGUCUCCGCGGUUCAUCUGUGUUGCUCUAAAUGACACUGUUUCAUUAUUUUGAUGGCUGGAGAAUAUUUCCUAGUGUAUGUAUAUGAGAGUUUCUUGAUCUCUUUAUCUGUGGAUGAACAGCUACUUUGAAACAUAUGAUACAUUUGUGUUAAGGCUAGUCACCCUGCUGUGGAAUAGAAGGCCAGAAUUGAUCAGUCUCAUCUGAGAGUAACUUUGUACCCAUCACUGAUUCCUUCUGAGACUGCCUCCACUUCCCCAGCAGCCUCUGGUUUCUUCAUGUGGCUGCAGAUGGCAGGAUUUCCCAAAGGUUUCUGGCUGAAACAUAUUCCGUGGUGUAUCUGUACAGCAGUUUCCUCAUCCCUGCAGCUGUGUUUGAACAGGUCAUUUACCAUGCUGUCCUCCAGGUUCAACAGUAUGGCUCCAAAGGAUGAAAUUUCAUUCUGAUUUUCUGGCUGAAGACUAUUCUCUUUGUGUAUGUCCACCACAGUUACUUUAUCCCUUCAUCUGUGGAUGGGCAGUCUCGCUGUAUUGCCCAGGCUGGAGUGCAGUGGCAUGAUCUCAGCUCACUGCAAGCUCUGCUUCCUGGGUUCACGCCAUUCUCCUGCCUCAGCCUCCUGAGUAGCUGGGAUUACAGGCACCCGCCACCACGCCCAGGAAACUCCAAACUGUCCAAGGAGAUAGUUCUGUUGUGAUUACUUCAUUGAGAAAUUUAACUUAUGAGCAGUUGAAAGGAAUGCAAGUUGCUGCAAAAUCAGAAUGAAGAGUGCAAAACGACUAAGCUACAAUGUUUUGUCAUUAUUCACUCUGAUGUGAAAAAGGCAGUGAAUUUAAUAGAAAAUAACUUCGUAGAGCAAAAUCUCAGGUGUGUUUUUUUAGUGCCGCAGUCUUGGAUGAUGGGUUCCUAGAAGCUCUCAACAUCUCUUCUUAAUUGGAGAAAGUGUUAAGCCCCAAAGUAGCUGGAGCAGUACAUCUUCAAUUUUUGACAAGAAAGCAGGAACUUGAUUACUUUGAGUGCUAUUCAUUAGUUUCUGCUUUCAUUGAGAAUGCAACAAAAGCCAACUAGGCUGCUGCUAACUCCUUGCUGGACUUCUUCUGCCACUGUCACAGGAACUGUAAUCUCACUGGACAAUUAACUAGGGAGUCUUUCAUCUUGAGUGACUGCUGCACAAAUGAUCUUCAAAGCAUUUUAGCCACCAGAGGAAUUCUCUUGAAAUACCCAAAAUCCAUCAGUAUCUUGAAUCAUGCUGGAUUUUGAAGAAUUCUUAACAAGCCAUGUAAAGGGGGCUCUCUGGCCUUGAAAUAGUGAUGUUUUUUAUACAGAAAGGAGAAUGCAGAAUGGUCAGACUACCAUGCACUGUUAAAUUUGAUUUCAAGAAAUUACAGGAAAACUUUCCAAAGUUCCAUCUCACAGAAAUUAUUUUUACAAAGAAUUCCAAGAUAAGUUUAGUUUUAUGGAAGACUUUUAUGUGGUUUUUACUCACUCUUCAUCUCAGACAUCAACAGAUGAUUACAUCACUUAUUUAGCUAGUAAAUUUAUUAAUAUAAAAACUCAGAGACAUUCCAAUAUCCACAUUGCUUACACCAUUAGGCAUAGAUUCAGUGUCAGCUAUGACAAUUGAAAAUAAGCUGUUUUGUGAUUUAAAGGUUUAAAUUUCUCUAACCAAACUGCUUGAUCCAGAUGCAGGACUGCAAAUGUUAAUAUUUGUUCUGGAAGAACAAUCAAAUAAGACUUAAGAGGAAAAGGAAUGGCCACAAUCCACCUGAAAUUUUUUUUUUAAAAAGUGUGCAGCCUACUAAAUCAGAAUGAAAAUAGAAGUACAAGAUUAUAAACAAAAUGCAAUCAAACUUUUCUUAAGCUUACCUAAAGUUAUUUCAUCUGAAAAUUUCAAGCAACUUUGUUCAACAUUAAAUUGACAAUCUAAACUAACAAGUCUUUUGAAUUUAUGCAUGGUAGUAAACAUUCUCUCUAUUAACUUUAUUACCUAAGGCUAAACCUAAAAUUUUUAAGCAAAAUUAGAAAAAUAGUCUUCACUCAUCAAAAAAUAAAGUUUGUUACAUUUAGUAUUUUCCCAAUAAAAUUGGUCGUUCUUGGUUUUUUAUUUGGAGAGUCUGUGCAAAAUGUCACUAAAAAUAAAUUAGCACUAGAAAUUAUUUCUAAAUACCAAAAAAAAAAAAAAUGAAGAAUGGUUUCACAAAGAAAA
rnacentral:lncRNA from 10 species